GAUGAACGCUAGCGAUAGGCUUAACACAUGCAAGUCGAGGGGCAGCACAAGGUAGCUUGCUAUCUGGGUGGCGACCGGCGCACGGGUGCGUAACGCGUAUGCAACUUGCCCUAUACAGGAGGAUAACCCGUCGAAAGACGGACUAAUACUGCGUAUGCUCACAACUUGGCAUCAAGUGGUGAGGAAAGAAAUUCGGUAUAGGAUAGGCAUGCGUCCCAUUAGCUUGUUGGUGAGGUAACGGCUCACCAAGGCAACGAUGGGUAGGGGAACUGAGAGGUUUAUCCCCCACACUGGUACUGAGACACGGACCAGACUCCUACGGGAGGCAGCAGUGAGGAAUAUUGGUCAAUGGGCGCGAGCCUGAACCAGCCAAGUCGCGUGAAGGAUGACUGUCUUAUGGAUUGUAAACUUCUUUUAUACGGGAAUAACAAGAGUCACGUGCGACUCCCUGCAUGUACCGUAUGAAUAAGCAUCGGCUAACUCCGUG
rnacentral:rRNA from 1 species